UGCAGAAAUGACUGCUUCAAUGCGGAGUGGCAUGGAGGCAAUCAGCCUGUGGCACUGCUGAGGUGUUAUGGAGGCCCAGGAUGCUUCGAUAGCGGCCUUAAGCUCAUCCAGAGUGUUGGGUCUUGCGUCUCUCAACUUUCUCUUCACAAUAUCCCACAGAUUCUCUAUGGGGUUCAGGUCAGGAGAGUUGGCAGGCCAAUUGAGCACAGUAAUACCAUGGUCAGUAAACCAUUUACCAGUGGUUUUGGCACUGUGAGCAGGUGCCAGGUCGUGCUGAAAAAUGAAAUCUUCAUCUCCAUAAAGCUUUUCAGCAGAUGGAAGCAUGAAGUGCUCCAAAAUCUCAAUAAAAGAACCUGAAAUAUUUCAUUGGUGUGCAAUGAAUCUAAAAUAUAAUGAAAGUUAAUUUUUAUCAUUACAUUAAUGGAAAAUAAUGAACUUUUUCUACAAUAUGCUAAUUUUUUGAGAAGGACCUGUAUAUAAAGAACACAUUAAACAAUCAUAAUACAAACAUGGACUGAAGUGUUGGUUUUGUUUUGACACAGGCACAUGGUUUAUAGUGCUGGUUUCCACUGGUGUUGCUGUAUUCUUGUCUGGACUCACGGGACUCAUCUGUCUGUGCUGGUUUGCAAGUCAAAAAAGAAGAAAAAUAGUUGUUCUGGGCCUGCAGAAACACAUUCUCUGAUCACUUCUAUACCAGAAACAUCUCAGCCCAUAUCUGCAGGAUUUCCUAGAGUAAAAGUAUCUCCAGAUGUCAUAAGAGAGUCCGGCUCAGUGAAGAUCAGCUGUGAGACAGAACCAUGUGUUAUAGUAAAUGAAUGUUAUUUCUACAUAAACAGAGAGGAGAAGAAAAUGAAAACCAGUUCAUCAUGUGAGCUGGAGCUCACUGGUGCUGAAGUGUUCAGAUGGGCAGCUGUACAAUCACCUGAAUCACAACAUUAUCUGUUACUACACAAUGAUAAAUGUGCAAGGCUCAUUCAUACCAUCAUCUGAUUCUGAUCCUGCCACAGUGACAGUUCUAGUUUCAACAUCAACCACCACUGAUAAUAUGACCGCAACAACCAUGAAAACCUGUGAGUAAUUGAGUCUGUGAAUCAGUUAUUCUUAUCGCAUUUUGAAUGUCCUCAAAAUGACAAUCGCUCUCUCCAGCUCAUGAUUUGUCUAUAAUUGUCAUUUUCUAUAAUGUACAUCACCACACAUUUCACAAUGUUUUCUCAUCAGCAUUAACUGUAAUGUCCACUUCUGAAACCACAACAUACAGUAAAACCGGUAAGUUGCUAAUAAUAGCUUUUCUGGUUAUUCUUGAUUAAAUUUGAGAAAUUAUUACUUUACUAAAAACUAAUUCAACUUAC
rnacentral:lncRNA from 1 species